UACGUAGGGGGCAAGCGUUGUCCGGAAUCAUUGGGCGUAAAGAGCGCGUAGGCGGCCCAGUAAGUCCGCUCUGAAAGUCAGAGGCUCAACCUCUGAAUGCGGGUGGAUACUGCUGGGCUAGAGUCCGGAAGAGGCGAGUGGAAUUCCUGGUGUAGCGGUGAAAUGCGCAGAUAUCAGGAGGAACACCGGUGGCGAAGGCGGGUCUCUGGGCCUGUCCUGACGCUGAGGCGCGAAAGCUAGGGGAGCGAACAGG
rnacentral:rRNA from 1 species